UACGAAGGGUGCAAGCGUUACUCGGAAUUACUGGGCGUAAAGCGUGCGUAGGUGGUUCGUUAAGUCUGAUGUGAAUGCCCUGGGCUCAACCUGGGAAUGGCAUUGGAAACUGGCGACCUAGAGUGCGGUAGAGGGUAGUGGAAUUCCCGGUGUAGCAGUGAAAUGCGUAGAGAUCGGGAGGAACAUCCGUGGCGAAGGCGACUACCUGGACCAGCACUGACACUGAGGCACGAAAGCGUGGGGAGCAAACAGG
rnacentral:rRNA from 1 species